rnacentral:tRNA from 1 species
GAAGGUAUAGCUCAGCGAUAGGAUGCAUACCUAGCAUGCAUGAGGUCCUGGGUUCAAUCCCCAGCACCUCCA